AACUGCACCUAUGUCCUGAAGGCCUCCAUGUCUGCUCUGCAGCUAGGGAGAUGAAGACUUCUGAGACAAGCUGUGCUACACAUGCAGAAUGUUGGACAAACAUUAAACCUAGACCAUUCUUGAAGAUCUUCAGAAAUUUGUUGCACAGCCAGAUGCCUUCUGGAUGACCUCUCAUGGAGCAGCAUCAAUAUAUCGAUGCCUGAUAGAAUGUCAUCCGGCUGCCAAGAGGAAAACACAAGAGCACGAGUGAGCAAAGAGCAUCUUGAGAAGAGCUAAGAAGAGUGUUUAGAUCAUAUUUCUGUUUCACAGUCUGUAUGUGGAUUCAGUAUUGCCUCAAAUGGCAUACAGAGCUG
rnacentral:lncRNA from 1 species